rnacentral:lncRNA from 1 species
AUGGUGGAUCACCAUUAUCCUUUUUUAUGUAAAUUACAUUGAUAGUAAAGUUUUAUGGCAUGUUUACACAGUAACGAUGUAUUAAAAUGGAUCGUUUUCCUUUUGUGUUUUUUAAAAAGUUUUGCAUACAAUGUUGAAUACAAAUGAUUCCAUUUCUCACUGAUUCAUGAAAACAACUAAAAUGCUGUAUUAUUCAGGCCUGGCCAGUAGUUGGCGAUGUCACUUUGUGAAGAAACACUAUGCAUGCUCAUGACAUGUCAAAUUUGCAUUUUGUAGUUUACAAGGAUAAACAUUCACAAGGAUUUUAAAAACGUGCACCUUGAAACCCCUUCUCAAACAUUUGUUUUCAGGCUCCCAAAUCGCUGUUUUUGUGUAAACGAGUAGUUGGCCAAAAAUAGUAAUGAGUGCAAGGUUUCUCACCGACGUCGGAUCGCAUCAUUUCCACAAUGGCGAAGUACACGGAGCUCCGAUACGUUUUGCACGUGCAGCCCACUGGAUAUCUGCUGCAAACAGAGCUUUAUCAUGCUGUGGCGUGCUACGAGCUUUCUUGUUUUCAUGGGAAUUUUAUUUCUCAGGGUUGGGGAACUUGAGGUGCAGGAAUGUAACAGCGGGCAGUGCGCCGUGGUCUCUCUCCUCUCCUCCACAGUGGUGGGUUGGGGAUUGUGCUUUGGCAACGGGAUACUCUGGUAUGGCCAUGAAACAUGUACAUAAGUUCAAAACAGAGCCGUAACUAAGGAGGUCCGUAAAUAUCCUCUAGCUGUGAGACUGUGGGGUUGCCAUGACUCUGUUGCUGCGGGACACGCUCCUAACUGGACUCGCUGUCUCAGUCUGUCGCGUCUGCAUCUGGUGUGUUAAGUCUUCUGCCAGCUUCAGGCUAUAGCGGGACGGGACUCACUUUAAGUGUCACCAAAAUGUUGAGUGAGGAUCUGUUGCUAUGAGCUCAGUGAUUAUGAAACCCUUCCAUAGACUGAUGAGUGAUAUUUUAUAUUAGAUCAGCAAACUUUAAGAGCUAUAUAUACACACACAUGCACACACACACACAUUAUAUAAAAUUAAGACAAGCCUGUGUCAUAUGUCAAAUCUUACAAUCUUAUUCUGUUCUUCGUGGUGACAGCAGCUGUGUUUAGAUGGACUCUUAUAAUCCAUUUGUAAUUGGACUAGUAACCCAGUCUGAAUAAAGAAAUCAAAAACGUUGUCGGAAUACUGUUUUGAAAUGUUUCAAAAAUGUUGAAAUUUCCAGUUUUCUAGUUGUGAUUAGAAUGUUUUUAAAAUACUCACUGUAAUAACAGACAAAGCAAUAGUGACCACAUAAUCAAAAAAGUUACUCACACUUGUGUGCUACUGUCAGAUUCAGAAUAGUCGGCACAGCAUCAUCUUUUAGUUUUAAUCUUUCAGAAAAUCCUGCAUCGAAUUGUGCCUGGUUUGUAAACAAAUCUGUGGUAAAAUGAUGUAAACAAAGGACCUAGUUCUUACUGACGCGGUCUGGAUCUUAAUUAAAAAUACAGUUCAUUCACUAUUUCCUAACACUGGGAUCAGAAGGAAGGCAAUGCAAAGACUGUUUUUCCACAACUUGGCACUGUACAGCGUCUUGUUGUCUUCGGAACGUCUUUAUUUUUUGGUUUCUGUGUACACUACAUUACACUACAGGUGCAAAUCAGUGGGCGGAGCUAAACAGGCACUGAUGUAGAAGCAGGUGUUGAUCUUCUGCUGAGGGGUGUUUAGCCCCACUAUUACAUCAUAGAGUAGAACAUUCCACAAGCUGUCAUUUUGGCAGAUUGGCAUCAAUGUUAGCUGUUUUUAGACUAACAAGGAAGUUUUUAUUUUUGAAACUUACAGGAUGUUUUUUUUUAUAGUACAAUGACCAUAUUAGAUAUGUCAAAAGAUCAAGGGAAUUUUGGUUUCUCAUUGUGAUAAUUGUAAUAUUGUAUGUUAAAAUGUCUAGAUUCUCAUUGUGAUCAUACGGACUUUCCCACAUUGCUGAUCUCAGAACGUUUUCUCAACAUUAUAAAAAUGUGCAUCAAAUACUAAUGAGGUUAUAAAAAAUAUUCCAUAAACAUUACUUUUAGACAGCUGUCCUAACAUUUAUAUAACUUUGUAGGGGUGGCUUAAACAUUUUCUAAUCUGUUCAAGAGGAAAUGUAAACACUUUAUCAAAUUGACAACUGAAACUGGUCAGUGGUGCAAUUCACAUGUGCAAGGAUGUAGAAUUGGUGUAAUGACGUACAGUUGGACACAUGGAAUGAGAUGUUCUGGUUGAAUCAUAAUUGUCAUAACUGUCAUGUCAUUCUAAUACUCUCCUUCCACUAAUAAUCUGUGAAAUGGUGCAGCAUAAAUGUCAUCCCACCAGUCCUUGCUUCAAACUCUCAUCCACAGAUGCCUUUUUGGGUGCGGAAAGCAGACAUUUUACUGUUUGAUAAAUAUAAGAAGCAAGUCACAAAGCUUCAUGUGCUCGUCAUCUCCAGACUAGAACCCUUGAAUAGAUGAAUUAAGUCUGCUUUAUAAAACAAAGAAAAGCAGGAUGUUCCUAGCUUGCAUGUCUUAAACCAGCAGCAUAAAAUAAAAAAAUAAAUCUGAUUGGAAACUUGUGACCCAUAAAUGCACACAUCAACCCGAUGACUUUCUUUAGCGUUCAUGUAAACACUACGUUCGAAUUCAUCAAUCGUGAUGAUUUCAUUGUGACAGAAACAAUAGGUGUCCAUGUAAAUGUAGCUAGUUAUCUUAACUGGCUAGGCUUUAUUAGAUUAGUGUGUUUAUCUGGAAGAUGUGUGGAGUUCUGCCAUUGAUUCCAGAGAUUCUCUCCUGAUGAAAACCGCCUAACAUCAGUGUCUGAUCUUACCCUUGUUGCGUGUAGAUAUUUUUCUGACUUUUUUGGUUUGCAUGCAAAACACCAAGCGUGUAGUGGUCAAACAUGUUGUAUGCAAGUUAAAUACCUUUUGCCAUCUGCUUGUCUCAAUGGUUCUGGAAGACAGAGUGGCGUGUUUUCACAAUAUGAGCGAGUUUACUGCCAGCCUUUGGUACUCCAAAUCCCAAAUUAAUGACACCAUUUAAUGGGGACAUAAAAUGACUCCUGUUGGUUUCUGCAGCACUGCAUCUGUGACACAAGUGCUAUCGCAUGUUGCAUUUCACCUCACAGACACUUGGAUUUUCUUAGAAGUUUUUAAGCAGCCUGUUAUCAAUUUCUGCUUUAUGUGAGUGACUAAAGGAACAUAUUUUCAAGUUUAGUUAUGCAACUCAAAAAUGACAUUAUUUAUGUCUGCUUACUAUUGUGCAUUAAAUCAGAUCAGUGCCUUUCAGUGCUGUGUUGUGACUUAUUUAUGUUUUAAGGUGAAU